rnacentral:rRNA from 1 species
AUUGAACGCUGGCGGCAGGCCUAACACAUGCAAGUCGAACGAGUGGCGGACGGGUGAGUAAUGUCUGGGACACUGCCUGAUGGAGGGGGAUAACUACUGGAAACGGUAGCUAAUACCGCAUACCAUCGGAUUUGCCCAGAUGUGAUUUGCUAGUAGGGGGGGUAAAGGCUCACCUAGGCCACGAUCCCUAGCUGGUCUGAGAGGAUGACCAGCCACACUGGAACUGGGACACGUUCCAGAUGCCUCCGGGAGGCAGAAGUGGGAAAGAUUGCACAAUGGGCGCAAGCCGGAUGCAGCCAUGCCGCGGGUAUGAAGAAGGCCUUCGGGUUGUAAAGUACUUUCAGCGGGGAGGCGUUACCCGCAGAAGAAGCACCGGCUAACUCCGUGCCAGCAGCCGCGGUAAUUC